CUAGUACUCCCUUCGUCCGAAAAAACUUGUCUCAACCUUUUGUCUCAAAUGAAUGUAUCUAGCACUAAUUUGAUGCUAGAUACAUCCAUUUGAGGGACAAGUUUUUUCGGACGAAGGGAGUAAUAU
rfam:Triticum aestivum genome assembly, contig: Triticum_aestivum_CS42_TGACv1_scaffold_435242_5DL